rnacentral:ncRNA from 1 species
UCCUAAACUUACACAUGCAAGUCUCAGCACACCCGUGAGGACGCCCUUUACUCUUCACCAGACUAAGGAGCCGGCAUCAGGCAUAAAAUCUCUACCCAUUACGCCUAGUCUCACCACGCCCACAAGGGCCUUCAGCAGUGAUAAAUAUUGUCCAUAAGCGACAGCUUGACCCAGUCAUAGGAAAUAGAGCUGGCUAACUCGGUGCCAGCCGCCGCGGCUAAACCGCACGAGCCCAAGUUGACAAUUGCCGGCGUUAAGCGUGAUUAAAGACCUUCUUCAAUUAGAGUAAAAUCUACAUUUAGCUGUAAUAAGCUUGCGCCAGAGAAAAUUUAAAACGAAAGUUACUCUAACCCACUUGAACACACGACAGUCGGGAAACAAACUGGGAUUAGAUACCCCACUAUGCCCCACCGUAAAAUAUCAACUUACACUAACAACGCCAGGGUAUUACGAGCCUCAGCUUAAAACCCAAGGGACUUGACGGUGUCCCAUCCAACUAGAGGAGCCUGUUCUAUAAUCGAUAAUCCCCGAUACACCUAACCCCAUUUCGCAAAUCAGUCUGUAUACCUCCGUCGCAAGCUUACCAUAUGAAUGCUAAUAGUAAGUUUAAUGGUCAUAACACCAACACGUCAGGUCAAGGUGCAACUCAUGAUGAGGUAAGCAAUGGGCUACAAUUUCUAACAUAGAAUACACGGAAUGCUGCAUGAAACACAGCUAUGAAGGCGGAUUUAGCAGUAAAAAUGAAAUAAUAUGUCUUUUUUAAUAAGGCCCUGGGACGCGUACACACCGCCCGUCACCCUCUUCAACAGUAUAAAAAAAUGUUCUUUACAUCCUAGCACGCCUUAGAAGAGGCAAGUCGUAACAUGGUAAGUGUACCGGAAGGUGCACUUGGAUCACAAAGUAUAGCUUAAAUAAAGCCUCUUGCUUACACUAAGAAAAUGUCUGUGAAAAUCAGACUAUUUUGAGCCCAAAAUUAAGCCUAAAUCUUAAUCCCAUGUGACAUAUUCCCACAACAAACCCAAACAAAACAUUUUACCAGUUUAGUAAAGGUGAUUAAAAGACUUAUUAGCGCUUUAUUACAAGUACCGCAAGGGAAAAAUGAAAUAGCUUUGAAAUAGGUUUUAAGCAGAAUAUAGCAGAGAUUAUUUCUCGUACCUUUUGCAUCAUGGUUUAGCUAGUCACUCUCAAGCAAAACGAAACAUCAGUUUGACCCCCCGAAACUAAGUGAGCUACUUUUAAACAGCUCAAUGGAGCCAACCCAUCUCUGUUGCAAAAGAGUGGGACGAUUUUUAAGUAGAGGUGAAAAGCCUACCGAACUUAGAGAUAGCUGGUUAUUCAGGAAAAGAAUUUUAGUUCAACCUUAAGUUUUCUUAUUACACAUAAAAUUCAUCUAAACUUAAGAGCUAUUCAAAUAAGGCACAGCUUAUUUGAAAAAGGAUACAACCUACAAAAAAGGGUAAAAAAAAUUUUAUAUAAAUUAAGUGGGCCUGAAAGCAGCCAUCUUUAAGAAAGCGUUAAAGCUCUUUUUCCAUUUUUAAUAAUUCCUCUAAGUCUAUUAAACCCUUUAUCCCCACUGAAUGAUUCUAUAUCUUAUAGAAGCCCUAAUACUAAAACUAGUAACAAGAAAUUGUAUUUCUCUAAAAUAUAAGCAUAAGCCAGAAUGGACCAACCACCGGCAAUUAACGUCAAUAAGACCAUUGUAGUAACCUCACAAGAAAACCCUACAAACAUAAACGUUAAUCUUACACAAGAAUAUUUCUGGAAAGAUUAAAAGAAAGGGAAGGAACUCGGCAAAUCUAAACCCCGCCUGUUUACCAAAAACAUCGCCUCUUGACAAACUAUAAGAGGUCCAGCCUGCCCAGUGAAAAAGUUAAACGGCCGCGGUACCCUGACCGUGCGAAGGUAGCAUAAUCACUUGUUCCUUAAAUAGGGACUCGUAUCAACGGCAUCACGAGGGUUAUACUGUCUCCCCCAUCUAAUCAGUGAAACUGACCUCCCCGUGAAGAGGCGGGGAUAUAACUACAAGACGAGAAGACCCCAUGGAGCUUUAAACCCACUGACAACCUCCAUCCAAAUACUCCCAUAUAGAUAUAAAGUAAUGUACAUUGGUUUUAGGUUGGGGUGACCACGGAGUAAAAUUAAACCUCCAUGACGAACGGAAAUUCAUCCUAAUCCAAGAGCUACCACUCUAAGAAUCAAAAAUUUGACGUAAUAUGAUCCGGUAACCGAUCAACGAACCAAGUUACCCUGGGGAUAACAGCGCAAUCCAUUUCAAGAGCCCCUAUCGACAAAUGGGUUUACGACCUCGAUGUUGGAUCAGGGUAUCCCAGUGGUGCAGCCGCUACUAAAGGUUUGUUUGUUCAACAAUUAAAAC